UACGUAGGGUGCGAGCGUUGUCCGGAAUUAUUGGGCGUAAAGGGCUCGUAGGCGGUCUGUUGCGUCAGGAGUGAAAACUCGGGGCUUAACCCCGAGCCUGCUUCUGAUACGGGCAGACUAGAGGUAUGCAGGGGAGAACGGAAUUCCUGGUGUAGCGGUGAAAUGCGCAGAUAUCAGGAGGAACACCGGUGGCGAAGGCGGUUCUCUGGGCCUUACCUGACGCUGAGGAGCGAAAGCAUGGGGAGCAAACAGG
rnacentral:rRNA from 1 species